rnacentral:rRNA from 1 species
GACGAACGCUGGCGGCGUGCUUAACACAUGCAAGUCGAACGGUGAAGCGCCUUCCUUUUUGGUGGGUGGGGAUGAGUGGCGAACGGGGGAGUAACACGUGAGUAACCUGCCCCCUUCUUCUGGAUAACCGCAUGAAAGUGUGGCUAAUACGGGAUAUUCUGGGUCUGUCGCAUGAUGGGUCUGGGAAAGAUAUUGUUUCGGUGGGGGAUGGGCUCGCGGCCUAUCAGCUUGUUGGUGGGGUGAUGGCCUACCAAGGCGGUGACGGGUAGCCGGCCUGAGAGGGUGGACGGUCACACUGGGACUGAGACACGGCCCAGACUCCUACGGGAGGCAGCAGUGGGGAAUAUUGCACAAUGGGCGCAAGCCUGAUGCAGCGACGCCGCGUGAGGGAUGGAGGCCUUCGGGUUGUGAACCUCUUUCGCCAGUGAAGCAGGCCUGCCUCGUUUGUGGGUGGGUUGACGGUAGCUGGAUAAGAAGCGCCGGCUAACUACGUG